GAAAAAAAGUGUCAUUUUUCAUUGACGUCAAUACUGUAGAGUCAUUCCAGCGUUUCCUCUGAAUGCGCUGGUGUUGGCCAAGUUUCUGCAGUUGCUUUAAGGCUGAAUGGCAUCAGAUCCACACCGGAUUUGCAUCGAAAGCUACAGUAUAUGCUCUCUCUCCUACACGACCAAGCAAUCUUCAUUUCCUUGGGUUUCCAAAACCACAAGGACACAGAAAAUUUUAACUGUCAAAUGUAAACCUCUCAGUCAGUAGCUAUAGAUUCAUAAAUUGAUUCUACUAAGAAAAAAUGUCUCUCUUUUUCACACACUCUCUCUUCACAUAUGUCAGCACUGGUUGUGUUUAGAGAACUGUUAAGCUGUAUCCUCAAGACUGUGGAGCCACACCUGAAUCAUAUUUACCUCUCCUGGUCCUAGACUAAAAAUCAUCUGCUUGCCCCUGUAUGUUCUGUACUAGCAGGCUAGCCGAUGGUGAAUGUUUAUGAAGUAGGCGCCGGGAUGUUCUGGAACUGAGUUGUGGCCAUGCUGUUAUGCCAUCAUUUUCCACAGGAACUAUAGGUUGCCAGGUAACAGGCAAUUAAAUGGUUUGGAGUUCUGGACAGAAGUCUUUCCUGUCAUUGAAAAAAGCAACCUCAGUUUCAGAUUAGUUGGAAGUGAGUGGAAGGCUGGACUCUCCUCAGAGUCGGGGAGUGACAUGCUGAACUAAACCAUAUCUCAGCCAUAAUCAUUAUCUCUUUGACGUCAUCAUCAUUUCAUUUAACGACACUGUGACUGACAUUAUUUCAUUGGCAUUAUUUCAUUUCAAAUCCAAUACGCCGAGACAAAAGGAAAGACACCAAAUAUUCUAUUAGGAUCUGGCCGUUUAUUGGAUUGUUUGACGCAGUAGGCUACUAAAUCGAGGAGACAUGACCAUGACAUUCCCUAUCUGUCCCUGCAUGUUUCUGUUUGUCACAUGGAACAAACUGUUUUUUUAUGUUUGUUUAUUUGUUUUGCUUCCUAAACUUGACAUUCUGGUUUGUGGGGCUAUGGCAUAUGUGUCAGGACAUUUACUAUAGUGAGCUCUAAGUUUUCCAUCUAAGUUUUAACCUGAAAACAAACGCUGUUGCCAAUAUGCUUAUAAAGGCUUUCGUCUUCUCCCAUAUCAACCUUUGUAACUCCCGUUUGAAUGGCCUUCCAGCUAACCUGAAAACACAACCGUUUAAAUUUUGGAUUGGAUUUUGUCUCGAGGAUCAUCCUGUUAAGUCAUAGUAGGUAUUACUGGUGUCAUCAGAUGACUCUUCAAACAGAUCUAUAUCAGCUCUGCACCUCGCCCCUUCCCAUCAAUAUCAGAUCAUAUCAGCUCUAUAUGGUUCCAUCUCAGUCUCUAAGAUCAUGUCUUCCUGAUUUAAAAGAUUGGCUUGAUAGCAACUAUCUGAAAGUCAACACUAAUAAAACAGAGGUCACGUGAACAGGCCAUAAGUCACUGGUUUCUGCAUCCUCCACUUUCCCUGUAAAUGAUGACAGUAUUCCUAUCACACCAGAGACAGUAAAAGCCUUGGCAUCAUUUUAUACUCAUCACUUAAUUAGACUUCUUUUCAUCAUUUGCACCACAUAAUGUGCCUCCAUCAUCUGCCCAGUAACGCCGUCGUCAAUAUGCUGAUAAAUGCUUUCAUCUUCUCCCAUAUCGACCCUUUUGUAAGUCCUUCUUGAAUGGCCUUCCUGCCAUAUCGCUAAACUGGCUUCAGUAUACUCUGCUGCCAGGGCUCUCACUUUUAGAAGGCUUCCUGCGCACAUCACCCUCGGGCUUCAUCAGCUACACCGGCUACCUGUAGCUUCAUAGUCUCGCUCCCUCACCCUUCCCUAGAUCUUAUGCCACUGGUACACAAGUGCCACUGCUCCAAUGCUAGGGAAUUUUCUUUCACCCACUUUGCGACUGUUCUUCUCGUUCUUCGGCACAUUUUCCUCUUCCUACGUUUUUUUUAAGCUUUGUUUUGUUUUGUUUUUCUAAACUGUAAAGCGUCUUUGGGUUUGUGAAGGGUACUAUAUAAGUUUAAUUUAUUGUAAUCAUUGUUGUUAAACUAUGCUAACAGAAUGUUACCCGUCUUAUUCCGCUGACUAAACCCAGAUGCUUCGUAACCCAAAAGUCACCCUCAAAUUGUAGAGCUGGUAGGGCGAUACACUGAAUAUUCAUUCUGAUCAUAGUAAUACGAUGCUGAUCAGAACCGGCGCACAGGUGUGUUUAUGCCUUACCGAAGAGCAGAGACCGCUUGAGAAACCUACUUGGUUUAUACUCUAGCGACACCUAGUGUUGAAUUGUGCCAUGAACAUCCGCGGAGACUCGACUAAGCCCCGCCGUGUGCUAGCACAGCCUGACUAAAGAACAGUUUCUACCCCGGUACUGUAACACACUGGGUACACAUUUACUCACUCCCCGCUUUUAAAAUAGCACCACGGCUGUAACUGUGCUGGAGCUCAGCCACACUACCACAUCUAGACGACUACAUAUGCUGACCUAUGAGCAAUGCACACCUAACGGCACUGAUUGUAUUAUACUGAAUAUGGUUUCCCACCCCCUCUCACAUCUGUUUACUUGUCCAAUCAUUUAAUUGAGUGCAAUCAUUUAAUUUACUUAUUAUAUACCAUCCCUUCGAGUGCAAUAAACGGUACUAUGCAACAACCCUCCAAUUUGCUCCCCAGCCGUGCACUCUAUUCUUUCAUUUUAUGUAUAUAUUUACUUUAUUUUUUCUUUACUUACAUUCUAUAGUCUACACGUGUUUUAUAGCUUUACCACGGGCUUGUACUCGAACAGUGACAAUAAAGGUAUCUCAUCUCA